AAAUAAAAACAGAUUCCCAUUUUCCAUACUAAAAAAUACAACAUGGAAACAGAUUUUCAACCCAAUCUCCAAUGUUCUGCUCUGUUCAAGAGCCUACAGAGACCAAAUAAUUUCAAAAUAUACACCAUGCAAACUGAUUGCAAUUUGCAAGAGAAACCAUAUAAAUUCGAAGAACAACAGAGCACACGAGUCUAGGAAAUACAUAUCAAAACGCUUCGCUUUCCUUCCACAGAUACAAAACCACACACAAACAAAGAAAAAAGCAUGUUCAGAUAACUUUCAAGUCCACUAGCUAGAAGUAACCCUAUCAAAACAAGAGUGUUCGGAUUGGUGCCCAGUCGGGCCAGUCCGACAAUUGUUACUUCACAAUCUUAACCGAGCCCUUCCUCUUCAUGUCAAUCAUUGAAACUCCAUUACCUCCCACAUUGUAUAGCCAAUCCCGAGUGCAUAAUAAUGCCUUCGCAUUUUUUGGAAUGGUUGAGAAGCAAAAUUUGUCAAUUAUUCACCCUCCUAUACGGAUUGCCGACUCAGAAGCAACGGUGGUGAUGGAAUGCUCAACACAUCACGUGCCAUUAACUCUGAUUUGAUUCUAGCUAGCCCACAUUCUUGACUCUCAAAUAGGUCACUCCUACAAAAAAAUUUGCACCGUCGGUGUAUCAAAAUGCCAAAUUCGUGCAAGAAAUUUAAUUAUACAAAAUUAUACAUACUUACAUCCAUUUCAUACUAUUCCCCACCUAAUAUACAGACAAUGACGAAACACAAAAAAAAAAUCAACUCUGACCUAGUCAUAAAUUAAUGACUCAGAUGCACCUACUAAUGACUCAGAUCCACCUGCUAAUACUAUUCCCCACAAGGCCACAAUGACUCAGAUCCAUCUACACAAGGGGUCUAUAUAAACCUUGUUGAUUCAAGUUCAAAGGCAUUCUGCAGUACCCAACUACUCAAAGAUAGAAAGAAGAAGAUACAAAUGUCUACCAUGGAGUAGAACACCUUUUCUAGUUCCUUCCCUUAGGAACUAGCAGUAUGUUAUCCUUUCCUAAAGUUUGUUUGAGAGUUAUGUAAAGAUGAAAAAAUACUACUAAAAAAGAGUGUGAUCGGUGACGAGGAGGUCGGUCUGUUCCUCAAUUUGCAGUUUGUUAACCAAAGCUUCAUUCACGUAGCUAUUGGCCUUUGCUUGUAGCAGUCCAACUGCAUAUCGAUCAGACGGAUCAGUAUCCGAGUUGCAGAGCAUGGUGUCCAACGAAAUGGAAAGUGGUCCAGGGAUCUAAGCUUACGAAAUUUACAUGGCGUCCAAAGAAAUGGUGUUAUUCCCAGUAGGGGGUGGUCCAUCAAUACUGCUACAACAACUGCCCGAGUGAAGCUUGCCCGUUUAUCCAGCCGAUCCUUUGUUUUAUUUCCUUUCCUUUCCUUUCCUUUAUGUUCUACUAAUAAAGUUGUUGUAUGUUAAACUUCUGAAUAAAAGCUGCUCAUGAUCUUGCUAGAGCAGCUUCAAAUGUUGGUUUAUGAUAUAAUAAUGGGAUGUUCGUGUUUUGUCUAAAGUAAUGAUAAAUAUUGGAGCUUGCAUUUGGUCCA